rnacentral:rRNA from 1 species
ACCAUGCAGUCGAGCGAGAUCUUCGGAUCUUGCGUCCGACGGGUGAGUAACGCGUGGGAACGUGCCCUUUGCUACGGAAUAGUCCCGGGAAACUGGGUUUAAUACCGACUCCGCUCUUCGGGGGAAAGAUUUUUCGGCAAAGGAGCGGCCCGCGUUGGAUUACGUUUUUGGUGGGGUAAUGGCUCACCAAGCCGACGAUCCGUAGCUGGUUUGAGAGGAUGAUCAACCUCACUGGGACUGAAACACGGCCCAAACUCCUACGGGAGGCAGCCGUGGGGAAUCUUACACAAUGGGGGCAACCCUGAUCUAACCAUGCCGCGUGAGUGAUGAAGGCCUUAGGGUUGUAAAGGUCUUUCAGCUGGGAUGAUAAUGACGGUACCUUCAUACCAAGCUAAGUAUAGCUCCGUGCAGCCGCGGUAAUACGGAGGGGGCUAAAGAUGCUUCGGAAUUACUGGGCGUAAAGCGCAUGUAGGCAGCACUGGAAAGUUGGUGGUGAAAUCCUGGGGAUCAACCUCGGAACUGCCUCCAAAACUAUCAGUCUAGAUUUCGAGASAGGUGACUGGAAUUCCGAGUGUAGAGGUAAAAUUCGAAGAUAUUCGGAGGAACACCAUUGUAGAAGCCGCUCACUGGCUCGAUACUGACGCAGAUGUGAGAAAGCGUGGGGAGCAAACAAGAUUAGAUACCCUGGUAGUCCACGCCGUAAACGAUGAAUGCCAGUCGUCGGGUUGCAUGCAAUUCGGUGACACCCCUAACGGAUUAAUCAUUCCGCCUGGGGAGUACGGUCGCAAGAUUARAACUCACAGGAAUUGACGGGGGCCCCGCACAAGCGGGUAGAGCGUGUGGUUUAAUUCAAAGCAACGCGCAGAACCUUACCAACCCUUGACAUGGCAGGACCGUUGGAGAGAUUCAGCUUUGUCGUAAGAGACCGGCACACAGGUGUUGCAUGGCAGUCGUCAGUAAGUUGUCGUGAGAUGUUCAACCAAUUCCGGCAACGAGCGCAACCCACGUCCGGUAGUUCCAGCAUUCAGUUGGGCACAAUAUGGAAAAAGGCGAUGAUAAGUCGGAGGAAGGUGUGGCCGAUGUCAAGUCGUCAUGGCCCUUACGGCAUGGGUUACACACGUGGUACAAUGGUCGUGACAGUGGGUUAAUCCCAAAAAACCAUAUCAGUUUGCAUUGUCCUGUGCAAAACUAGGGCAUGAAGUUGGAAUCGCUAGUAAUCGCGGAACAGCAUGCCGCGGUGAAUACGUUCCCGGGCCUUGUACACACCGCCCGUCACACCAUCGGAGUUGGUUCUACCCGAAGACGAUGCGAUAACCACUCGGGGAGGCAGG